AAAAACAUUCUGGAAUAAGGGCUGGGCAAGACCGGUGCCAGCCGCCGCGGUAACACCGGCAGCUCAAGUGGUAGCCGCUUUUAUUGGGGUCUAAAGCGUCCGUAGCCGGUUUGAUAAGUCUUCCGUGAAAUUCCACAGCUCAACUGUGGGAAUUUUCGGAGAUACUAUCCUGACUUGAGGUCGGGAGAGGUAGGAGGUACUCCCAGGGUAGGGGUGAAAUCUUGUAAUCCUGGGAGGACCACCUGUGGGAAGGCGUCCAGCUGGAACGAACCUGACGGUGAGGGAGAAAGCCAGGGGCGGAAACCGGAUUAGAUACCCGGGUAUUCCUGCCCGUAAACGAUGUGGACUUGGUUCGAGCAGGGUUCGAGCUGCCCCAGUGCCGAAGGAAAGCUGUUAAGUCUACCGCCUGGGAAGUACGGCCGCAAGGCUGAAACUUAAAGGAAUUGGCGGGGAGCACCACAACGGGGGGGACCUUGUGGUUAAAUUGGAUUCAAACCCCGGACAUCUCACCAGGAGCGACCAGCCAAUAUUAUGCC
rnacentral:rRNA from 1 species